rnacentral:rRNA from 1 species
CCAAUCGAACUCGGAGAUAGCUGGUUCUCCUCGAAAUAGCUUUAGGGCUAGCGUCAUGUAAUAUAGCCAACGGGGGUAGAGCUCUGUAAACGACUGGGGCGGGCAACUGUACCCACCGUUAACAAACUACGAAUACCGUUGGUGGUACCAUGGCAGUUAGAACAUCGGGGCUAAGCUCGGUGCUCAAAAGGGAAACAGCCCAGACCAUCAUCUAAGGUCCCUAAAUUAACACUAAGUGGGAAACAAGGUGAAAUUUCUUAAACAGCGAGGAUGUUGGCUUAGAAGCAGCCAUUCAUUUAAAGAGUGCGUAACAGCUCACUCGUCAAGAGAUUUUGCGUGGAAAAUGUAACGGGGCUAAAGUGUUAUACCGAAGAUAUGGAUUUCGUUAUUCCUACGGGUUUAACGGAGUGGUAGAGGAGCGUUCCUAUCGGCUGUGAAGCUCAAUCGUAAGGUUGGGUGGAGCGUUAGGAAGUGAGAAUGCUGGAAUGAGUAACCAUAAGAAAGGUGAGAAUCCUUUCGGCCGUAAGAGCGAGGUUUCCAGGGCUACUGUAAUAAUCCCUGGGUUAGUCGGGCCUAAGCCGAGGCGUAGCAGCGUAGGCGAUGGACAUCAGGUUAAUAUUCCUGAACCGGUUAUAAUUUGUAUACUGUGUACGGUAAAUUAGUCGAAGCGGAUUAUUGGUAUAUAUCCGUCCAACUUAGCGGGAACGCAAAAGGAGUGAAAGUUAAUCUACGGAUUAACGAUUUUGAUGAAAGUACUGGCUAGAAAAGCAGAUAUACGCGUGGUUAUAGCCGCCCGUACCGCAAACCAACACAGGUGCUCGAGUCGAGUAGACUCAGGCUUACGAGAGACCCUUCGCUAAGGAACUCGGCAAAACAGCGACCGUAACUUCGGGAUAAGGUCUGCCUCCGCAUCAUUCGAUGCGAGUCGUGUUUCAAGCAAUUAGGUUAAGAUUAAUGGUAUAUAUGAGUAUCUUAAACUUCUUUACCGAGAUAGAACAAGUCAAAUGGCUUAGCUUGGAACGUGGCAAACUCGUAUCAAACGAUGCGGAGGCCGCAGCAAAAGAGCCCACGGAACUGUUUACCAAAAACACAGGUCUCUGCGAACACGAAAGUGGAUGUAUAGGGGCUGACUCCUGCCCAGUGCUGGAAGGUUAAGGGGAGUGCUUUACGGUGCGAACUGAAGCCCCAGUGAACGGCGGCGGUAACUAUAACCGUCCUAAGGUAGCGAAAUUCCUUGUCAGGUAAGUUCUGACCCGCACGAAUGGAGUAAUCAUGUGGGCACUGUCUCGGCGAAGGACUCGGUGAAAGUGCAUUGGCGGUAAAGAUGCCGUCUGUCCAUGCCAGGACGAGAAGACCCCAUGGAGCUUUACUACAGCUUUACAUUGACACGGGUUACAUCAUGUGUAGCAUAGGUGGGAGGCUUUGAAGCAGAUACGCCAGUAUUUGUGGAGCCACAGGUGAAAUACCACCCUUGAUGUAGUCUUUGUCUUACCAUUGCCGUUAUCCGGUAAUGGGACCGUGUAUGGUGGGUAGUUUAACUGGGGCGGUUGCCUCCUAAAGAGUAGCGGAGGCGUUCAAAGGUUGGCUAGCUUCGGAUGGAAAUCGAAGUGAUAGUGCAUGCGCAUAAGCCAGCUUGACUGCGAGAAUUACAAUUCGACCAGAGUGGAAACACGGAGCAAGUGACCCGCUGUAAGAACAUUGUUCAUUGAAUGUGGGAUCGACAGCGCACACGGAUAAAAGUUACCCUGGGGAUAACAGGCUUAUCGCGCCCAAUAGUUCACAUAGACGGCGCGGUUUGGCACCUCGAUGUCGGCUCAUCACAUCCUGGAGGGGGAGCACCUUCCAAGGGUUCGGCUGUUCGCCGAUUAAAGUGGUACGCGAGCUGGGUUCAGAACGUCGUGAGACAGUUCGGUUUAUAUCCGGCAUGGACGUAAGGAUUCUUGAGGAGAUUUGUCUCUAGUACGAGAGGACCGAGAUGAACGAACCUCUGGUGUAUCGAUUGUGGCCACCUGCUGCAGUGUCGAGUAGCUAUGUUCGGUUAAGAUAAGCGCUGAAAGCAUAUUAAGCGCGAAACUGACUCCAAGAUUAGGAAUCCCAUGAGGACACAGAAAGAUGAUCUGUUUGAUAGGCGCAAGGUGUAAACCUGGUAACAGGCUAGCCAAAGCGUACUAAUAGUCCAAUCGCCUUUUUAU